rnacentral:rRNA from 1 species
GACGAACGCUGGCGGCGUGCUUAACACAUGCAAGUCGAACGGAAAGGCCCUGCUUUUGUGAGGUGCUCGAGUGGCGAACGGGUGAGUAACACGUGAGUAACCUGCCCUUGACUUUGGGAUAACUUCAGGAAACUGGGGCUAAUACCGGAUAGGAGCUCCUGCUGCAUGGUGGGGGUUGGAAAGUUUCGGCGGUUGGGGAUGGACUCGCGGCUUAUCAGCUUGUUGGUGGGGUAGUGGCUUACCAAGGCUUUGACGGGUAGCCGGCCUGAGAGGGUGACCGGCCACAUUGGGACUGAGAUACGGCCCAGACUCCUACGGGAGGCAGCAGUGGGGAAUAUUGCACAAUGGGCGGAAGCCUGAUGCAGCAACGCCGCGUGCGGGAUGACGGCCUUCGGGUUGUAAACCGCAUUCGCCUGUGACGAAGCGUGAGUGACGGUAAUGGGUAAAGAAGCACCGGCUAACUACGUG